CAGUGCAGCAAAGUUUUAAGAAAUCACUACUGUGUUGUGUGAAAGGUUAGCUCUCCCCUUGACAAGGAUGGAAGAGGCCCUUGGGCCUGACAACAUAACCACAUGUGUAUGUUUUAAACGCCUCAAAGAUGGAAAAUAAAUAAGGACAGUGGAGAAAAGAAAACUCGCUGACAAUCCACCACCUAUAGAUGACCACUAUAAACAAUUGAGAAUUGUACUGAAACAAAGAAGAACUGGGAUAUUGUUUAUAAAUAUAACUCACUGUUGGUUGUGCAGAAAGACUUUAAAAGGGAGAGUAAUCUAAAAAUUCUGCUCUUUUGGCCAAAGAGGGUUUC